UUGCUUCUAGCAGCACACAUACCAAAAUUGGAGUGAUAGAAUAGCAUGGCUCUUGUGCAAAGAUGAUAUACCCAAUCAUAGUACAUCCUAUGUUUGU
rnacentral:snRNA from 1 species